UCGAAAAUACCAUCAAUUUCUUCAGUUGCUGGCAGAUCAACACCAUCCAGUCGAGUGCUCCUGGUCUUGUACGUGAAAGGAAUUCGGCACUUAGCUUUAGUACAUUCAAAGGUUAGGUUCGCCUUCUCAUUUGGCUUGACAUCUUUGACAGUGACUGUGGACUGAAACUGGAUUGCGUUCUGAGUGGCCUUACCAAAUUCGUAGGUCUUUGUUGUUUCAGUCCCAAUAGUCAGCGUAAACGUAGCACUUGCAACUUCAGGCUUCCCAGCGGUUAAAGACACGCUUGUGUUCAUAGAAAAGGUGUCAGAGGUGCUCCACGUUUGGCUGGUGGUCAGUGUUUGAGACAAGGUAACCUGCGCUUGUAAAUCUGCCGUCUUUUCACCGUCGUUCUUCAAGUAGCUGCGGCCAACCACCAGGGCUUCAAUCUCCCGCACUUCGGCCAACUCGAGCAGAUACUUUACAUCAAAUAUGCUUGUGUGCGACACAGCCUUGCUCACUUCCAGGUGGGUCUCUUUAUCGUUGAUGCUGUCGGCAAUGGCACAUAGGGAACUCACCCAAUAAUCAGUGUAGCGCUUGCACAACUUUUGGUUGACUGUCGAACGGAAGGCUACAAGUUUAUCGCUGAGUUUGAUAGGCUCGAACAAACACGCCGGAGUGGUAAGUGCCUUGGAACGUUCGAUGUCGGCCCAUAUCCAAUUGGGACUUAGCCUCCAGAAGCGGUCCCUUUUGAUGCUGCACAUCGCUACAUUACCAUCCACAGUAGGGACAACUUCAAAAGCCGCGUAAAGGUCCGGAUUGUUCUCGAGGUUGAAUUGUAGCCAGAUUUCCUGCCCACGUUCAGCAUGCACGCACAUGAACUUGUUGUUGCCGCCCUUGAACAUGACAUAGCGUGGAAGUGUGAGUGCAGUAUCUUCUGCAGAAGUCACUUGCAAGCUCUCCUUGGACGUAUCAUCAGAAGCUCUGAAUCCCCUUUCCAGGUUUUUCACGGUGUGACCACCAAGAUACUUCCCAUUCAGCACCGAUUUGAACGAAUAAGUGUUUGAGUUGAUCUGCUUCACCUCAAACUGACAGUCAGUAUCGGUGGAUGCAGGUGUGCCCUCUCGAUCAGCAACUACCCAGCCACCAUCCUGAAGAACACGCCAGAAUCUUCCAUUUGCUGCACGUAAGAACACAGUAUCU
rnacentral:lncRNA from 1 species